rnacentral:rRNA from 1 species
UACGCUGGCGGCACGCCUAACACAUGCAAGUCGAACGCAGUAGCAAUACUGAGUGGCAAACGGGUGAGUAUAAUGUGGGAAUCUGCCUUUUGGUUUGGAAUAACACGAGGAAACUUGUGCUAAUACCGGAUAAGCCCUUACGGGGAAAGUUUUAACGCCGAAAGAUGAGCCCGCACUUGAUUAGCUAGUUGGUAAGGUAAAAGCUUACCAAGGCAACGAUCAAUAGCUGUUCUUAGAGGAAGACCAGCCACAUUGGGACUGAGACACGGCCCAAACUCCUACGGGAGGCAGCAGUGGGGAAUCUUGCACAAUGGGGGAAACCCUGAUGCAGCGAUGCCGCGUGAGUGAAGAAGGCCUUUGGGUUGUAAAACUCUUUCGUCGGGGAAGAAAAUGACUGUACCCGAAUAAGAAGG